CACCAUCACCACCUUCACCAUCAUCAUAAUCAUCACCAUCAACAUUAUCACCAUCAUCACCACCACCUUUCUCUGCUGGUCUUGCAGCUGAUUUUGACUAUGUUCAACAAUACAGGGAUUAGAAUAAUGCUCCGUUUAGAGAAGUUUUUGUAAUCUCUUAAGAAUACUAAUGAAAAAGUAAGCAAAGUUUGAAAAACACAUACAGAUAAAAGAGUCUAAAAUCAAAUUCAAAAGCACAAUGCUGGGAUCUUCAUCAUUGGUGUCGCAAGUUCUCAAUUAUUUUCAUGUCCAUGUUUCUUUACACAGUGCUUAAUAUGAAAUAUAUACUGAAAUGUCACAUUCAUACUCCUCAUAGAAUCAUGGAGAUGAAAAAAGGAUAGAUGGACAUAUUAUUACACGCGAUUUCAAAAGAUAAAUUGAGAAUUUCAAUAAAAUUGUUAAAAAUGACAUUGUGCUAUCACACAGUCAAAUCUUGCUGCGCUCAUAUGACUGUGACACAGACUCCAUAAAGAAUGAGUGACAUUCAAUUCAAAUUUUCUUUAGUUAUUCAGCAUUUUAUUUUUUUAUACAUCUGUUAGAAACAGCAUAGGAAACAUUGAACUCUGUACAAGGAAACAUUAAACUUUGUACAUAUACAUUAUGCAUAUCAUUUUUGUACAAAACUUUACUAAGACGGGAACACACAGACAUUAAACAAUUUAAACAAUGUUUUUUUUUGGUCCUGCCAGCAUAUGUCAAUUAUUUUUACAUUCAAUACAUCACAAUACCUUUCUAUUAACACAUCUUUAAAAGGGUGCUCCAGAUACUCAUGAUAAUAAUGAUUUUCAACACAAAGGGAAAGUCAGACAAACAAGAUAGUCAGUUUCAUCAUAAUACAAUGAAUAACAAGGUCAUGACAUUUUAAAAUUUGCAUUAAUAGUACAACAGUACUGCGCAUGUCUUCAUAAUAAGAGAACUGAUGUGUAAUCUCCCCACCUAUUUUUUACAUGAUAUUGUCAUUCAGAUGUUUCAUCGAAAAUGUAAAAACAAGACUGGAGUCAAUGGGUAGGAUAAUCAUUGCUGCAACUUAUUUUGUUGCGAGGGAGACAUGUCAAACACACAUGAAUGUUUUAUUCAGAAGAAUUCAUGAGAAUUCAUGAGAAUUUCUAUUCUUUCUGUUUUUCAUUUCAAUCAGUUUGAGUAUAUUCAAUUUUCUUGAAGCACCAUGAGCACCAAAAGCUGGACCUGUGCGCUAUAUCAGAAGCCACCAUUAUUAUCAAGUAUGAAAAUAUGAUUUCAUGCUAUAAAAUAAAAAGUGAAUAGGCAUUAAUGCGAUGGUGCAAGAUUUUUCACAUUAAAAGGUGAAAGAAUGAUGGUCUGAAUAGUGUCUGAAUAUUCGCUAUUCGUAUUGUACAACGCCUCAGAAGUUGGCGAGAAUACGAACAAUCACCAAUUUUUUCCUAUAUUAAUCAAUGACAAAGAAUUAUUCAAGAAGUUGAUACCAUAAUCUAAACUGAAAUUCAGCUGAUGAAAUAACUAUAUCCCAUUUAUGCAUAAAUUAUUGGGUAACAAAACAUUUAAAAGAGCACAAACUUGUUAAAAAAAAGUUAUGGUUAUGGUAUCCUUACUCAUUAAAAAAAGUCCUUCCUUAUUCAGAAAGAAAGAACCCCCCCCUACUCCUACAGAUAAUUCUCUUUAUAAAAGAGUGGUACACAAUACAAUGACGGGGGUAAGCGAGAUACAACUGACAUCUUUACACAUUUGACAUUACAAAAUCAGUUAAAAAGACUUACGAUAUAAAAAUACAUACAAAAUUUGUAUUUGUUUGAAUGAUAUAUAUCUAUAUAUAAAUAUCUGUACACAAUCAGACAGAGUCUCUUCGUUAUUCAACAUUAUAUACACAUAUUGUAUAAAAUAUGAUUUUGAAAGCCAAUUACAGCAUUUUCCCCCAUCAUUCACAAAACAUCACCAUAAAAAACAUUGACAACUUUCAUGGACUUCACUAAACAUUUAAAUGUUUAAAAAGAUAUGACACAUAUUGUUAGAAACUGCAUUUCAUGUAGUAUAAACCUGCAAAGAAUGGUAGGCAAUACUACAUUGUACUACAGAAGUUGUUUGACUGAAAGUGAUCUAGUACUAAAAUCACCAUGAUUGCAUCAAUGAAUGUUGAUAUGAUUCAUAUAGGUGUUUGAAUAUUAUAUAUUUUUUAUAACAAGCUACCCCACCCCUGCCCCCCCCAAAAAAAAAUCAUCGAACAGAAAUGCAAGAAUGUAGGCUUCCUUCUAAACAGGUAGAAAGGCUUACCAUUUGGCUGAAAUUAAAUAACCUCUCUCGCCAUUCACAUCACAGGAACUUAUCCUCGAUUCUUUGUUCAUUCACAUGCCAAUAAGUACCAAGUGCAGCAAGCAUAAGCUCAAUAGCUAUUUGACUGAAAGAAAAUGGAAUCACUUUGCAGCAAUUUUGAAAAAAUAUUUACCCUGGAUAAGUGUAUUUACCAGUUCAUUAACACCCUCUAUGGAAAGGAGAAUGGUCCUAACAUGAAUGGUGGUACAGAAACAUAUCUGGAUAGCUUCAUUAAGUUUUUUUUGUAGAUUCAAUCACAAAUUAAUAAGUUUGUAGUCAGAAAGUCGACAAACAAAAAGCCAUAAUUUCUCAUAUUGAUCAACCAUGAGCCUCAUAAAAAGUAGAAUUUUAUCUAGAAUCUAUUCUUGUUUUCCUUUGACAUAUGAAUACAGAAAUGCCCCAUCCCC